UGGUGCUUGGAAUAUUCCUAAGUCUGGUGUGUAUUUCAUAAGCAUAUUUCUUUUAUGAAAUAUGUUCAUGUUGACUGGAAUUUAACUAAAAUUAGUAAGAGCCCCACACACACGAGAUACAUAGAUGCCACCAUCUCAAAACAUGCAAAACCCCCAAAAACCAACAGUGCUGCUUUUAAUAAAACUCCCAUGUCAUAGACAUGUGCAAGCAGUGUCUGGGCAAAUUUUAAUACAGGGCUUCAUUU